CUUCUCAUUUCUUGUAACAAUAUACAAAAUUUAGCAAAACAAGAACACUAAUAACACUAUCAAUCUUUCAUUUCUUGAUAACAUUUACAAAAUUUAGCAAAACAAGAACACUAAUAACACUAUCAUCUUUCUCAUUCUUGAUAACAAUAUACAAAUUUUAGCAAAACAAGAACACUAUAACACUAUCAAUCUUCUCAUUUCUUGAUAACAAUAUACAAAAUUUAGCAAACAAGAACACUAUAACACUAUCAAUCUUUUCAUUUCUUGAUAACAAUAUACAAAAUUUAGCAAAACAAGAACACUAAUAACACUAUCAUUCUUCUCAUUUCUUGAUAACAUAUACAAAAUUUAGCAAAACAAGAACACUAAUAACACUAUCAAUCUUCUCAUUUCUUGAAACAAUAUACAAAAUUUAGCAAACAAGAACACUAAUAAACUAUCAAUCUUCUCAUUUCUUGAUAACAAUAUACAAAAUUAGCAAAACAAGAACACAUAAUACACUAUCAAUCUUCUCAUUUCUUGAUAACAAUAUACAAAUUUAGCAAAACAACAACACUAAUAACACUAUCAAUCUUCUCAUUUCUUGAUAACAAUAUACAAAUUUAGCAAAACAAGAACACUAAUAACACUAUCAAUCUUCUCAUUUCUUGAUAACAAUAUACAAAAUUUAGAAAAACAAGAACACUAACAACAUUAUCAAUCUCCUUAUUUCUUGAUAACAAUAUACAAAAUUUAGCAAAACAAGAACACUAAAAACACUAUCAAUCUUAUCAUUUCUUGAUUACAAUAUACAAAAUUUAGCAAAACAAGAACACUACUAACACUAUCAAUCUUCUCAUUUCUUGAUAACAAUAUACAAAAUUUAGCAAAACAAGAACACUAAUAACACUAUCAAUCUUUUCAUUUCUUCAUAACAAUAUACAGGGAAGUAUGCUAAGAAAAAAGAAGCAAAAAAAUAACUCACGUAACAGAGUCCUAAAGAUGUGCGUACGGAUAUAGGAAGCAGCGGUGUGGCCUUUGAAGCCAUCAUAAAUUCCAACGAACAGUGCGUCAUGGCUUACAUCGUCCUAGUUGUGAUCUUCCAUAUCCUUAUUUUACUAACAGAAGCAAUGGAGAAUUCCCCAUGGCAAUGCCUUUCAUUUUUGGGAGAUUUUGGUAAAGGGUCAGCGUUAAAUGUUUCUUGAUAACAAGAACACUAAUAACACUAUCAAUCUUCUCAUUUCUUGAUAAUAAUAUACAAAAAUUAGCAAAACAAGAACACUUAUCAGACUAUCAACCUUCUCAUUUUUUGAUAACAAUAUACAAAAUUUAGCAAAACAAGAACACUAAUAACACUAUCAAUCUUCUCAUUUCUUGACAACAAUAUACAAAAUUUAGCAAAACAAGAACACUAAUAACACUAUCAAUCUUCUCAUUUCUUGAUAACAAUAUACAAAAUUUAGCAAAACAAGAACACUAAUAACACUAUCAAUCUUCUCAUUUCUUGAUAACAAUAUACAAAAUUUAGCAAAACAAGAACACUAGUAACACUAUCAAUCUUCUCAUUUUUUUGAUAACAAUAUACAAAAUUUAGCAAAACAAGAACACUAAUAACACUAUCAAUCUUCUCAUUUCUUGACAACAAUAUACAAAAUUUAGCGAAACAAGAACACUAAUAACACUAUCAAUAUUCUCAUUUCUUGAUAACAAUAUACAAAAUUAGCAAAACAAGAACACUAAUAACACUAUCAAUCUUCUAAUUUCUAGAUAACAAUAUACAAAAUUUUAGCAAAACAACAACACUAAUAACACUAUCAAUCUUCUCAUUUCUUGAUAACAAUAUACAAAUUUAGCAAAACAAGAACACUAAUAACACUAUCAAUCUUCUUAUUUCUUGAUAACAAUAUACAAAAUUUAGCAAAACAAGAACACUAACAACAUUAUCAAUCUCCUUAUUUCUUGAUAACAAUAUACAAAAUUUAGCAAAACAAGAACACUAAAAACACUAUCAAUCUUCUCAUUUCUUGAUAACAAUAUUAACAAAAUUUAGCAAAACAAGAAACACUAAUAACACUAUCAAUUUUCUCAUUUCUUGAUAACAAUAUACAAAUUUAGCAAAACAAGAACACUAAUAACACUAUCAAUCUUCUCAUUCUUGAUAACAAUAUACAAAAUUUAGCAAACAAGAACACUAAUAACACUAUCAAUCUUCUCAUUCUUGAUAACAAUAUACAAAUUUAGCAAAACAAGAACUACUAACACUAUCAAUCUUCUCAUUUCUUGAUAACAAUAUACAAAAUUUAGCAAAACAAGAACAUAAUAACACUAUCAAUCUUCUCAUUUCUUGAUAACAAUAUACAAAAUUAGCAAAACAAGAACAUAAUAACACUAUCAAUCUUCUAUUUCUGUAACAAUAUACAAAAUUUAGCAAAACAAAACACUAAUAACACUAUCAAUCUUCUCAUUUCUUGAUAACAAUAUACAAAUUUAGCAAAACAAGAACACUAAUAACACUAUCAAUCUUCUCAUUUCUUGAUACAAUACAACAAAUUUAGCAAACAAGAACACUAAAACACAUCAUCUCUUAUUUCUUGAUAACAUUACAAAAUUUAGCAAACAAGAACACUAAUAAACUAUCAAUCUUCUCAUUUCUGAUAACAAUAUACAAAUUUAGCAAAACAAGAACACUAUAACACUAUCAAUCUUCUCAUUUCUUAGAAACAAUAUACAAAAUUUAGCAAAACAAGAACACUAAUAACACUUCAAUCUUCUCAUUCUUGAUAACAAUAUACAAAAUUUAGCAAAACAAGAACCACUAAUAACACUAUCAAUCUUCUCAUUUCUUGAUAACAAUAUACAAAAUUUAGCAAAACAAGAACACUAUAACACUAUCAAUCUUCUCAUUUUUUUGAUAACAAUAUACAAAAUUUAGCACAAACAGAACACUAUCUAAUCUUCUCAUUUCUUGAAACAAUAUACAAAAUUUAGCAAAACAAGAACACUAAAACUAUCAAUUUCUCAUUUCUUGAUAACAAUAUACAAAAUUUAGCAAAACAAAGAAACACUAAUAACACUAUCAAUCUUCUCAUUUUCUGAUAACAAUAUACAAAAUUUAGCAAACAAAACACUAAUAACACUAUCAAUCUUCUCAUUUCUUGAUAACAUAUAACAAAUUUAGCAAAAACAAGAACACUAAUAACACUAUCAAUCUUCUAUUUCUUGAUAACAAUAUACAAAAUUUAGCAAAAAACAAGAACACUAACAACUAUCAAUCUCUUAUUUUCUUGAUAACAAUAUACAAAUUUUAGCAAAACAAGAACACUAAUAACACUAUCAAUCUUCUCAUUUCUUGAUAACAAUAUACAAAAUUUAGCAAAACAAGAACACUAAUAACACUAUCAAUCUUCUCAUUUCUUGUAACAAUUACAAAAUUUAGCAAACAAGAACACUAAUAACACUAUAAUCUUCUCAUUUCUAUAACAAUAUACAGUAGUAUUAAGAAAAAAGACGCAAAAAAAUAACUCACUAAUAACCCUAACGAAUGUGCGUACAUAUAGAAAGCAGCGUUCUUAACAUCUAAAUUCCACGAACAGUGCGUCAUGCUUACAUCGUCCUAGUUGUGAUCUUCAUAUCUUAUUUGACUAAAAAGCAUGGAGAAUUCCCAUGCAAUGCUUCUCAUUUUUGAAUUUUUAAAGGGUCAGCGUUAAAUGUUUCUUGAAACAAGAACACUAAUAACACUAUCAAUCUUCUCAUUUCUUGAUAACAAUAUACAAAAAUUAGCAAAACAAAAAACACUAAUAACACUAUCAACCUUCUCAUUUCUUGAUAACAAUUAUACAAUUUAGCAAACAAGACUAUACACUAUCAAUCUUCUCUUUUUGAUAACAAUAUACAAAUUUAGCAAACAAGAACACUAAUACACUAUCAAUCUUCUCAUUUCUUGAAACAAUAUACAAAAUUUAGCAAACAAGAAAAACUAAUAACAUAUCAAUCUUCUCAUUUCUUGAUAACAUAUACAAAAUUUAGCAAAACAAGAAACAUAAUAAACUAUCAAUCUUCUUUUCUUGAUAACAAUAUACAAAAUUUAGCAAAACAAGAACACUAAUAACACUAUCAAUCUUCUCAUUUCUUGAUAACAAUAUACAAAUUUAGCAAAAACAAGAACACUAAUAACACUAUCAUCUUCUCAUUUCUUGAUAACAAUAUACAAAUUUAGCAAAACAAGAACACUAAAACAUUAUCAAUCUCCUUAUUUCUUUAAACAAUAAUCAAAAUUUAGCAAACCAAGAACACUAAAAACACAAAUCAAUCUUCUCAUUUCUUGAUAACAAUAUACAAAAUUUAGAAAAACAAGAACACUAAUAACACUAUCAAUCUUCUCAUUUCUUGAUAACAAUAUACAAAAUUUAGCAAAACAAGAACACUAAUAACACUAUCAAUCUUCUCUUU
rnacentral:lncRNA from 1 species